rnacentral:rRNA from 1 species
UGGGGAAUAUUGGACAAUGGGCGCAAGCCUGAUCCAGCAAUGCCGCGUGUGUGAAGAAGGCCUGCGGGUUGUAAAGCACUUUCAGUGGGGAGGAAGGCCUUGAGGUUAAUAACCUCGAGGAUUGACGUUACCCAAAGAAGAAGCACCGGCUAACUCUGUGCCAGCAGCCGCGGUAAUACAGAGGGUGCAAGCGUUAAUCGGAAUUACUGGGCGUAAAGGGUGCGUAGGUGGUUUUUUAAGUCAGAUGUGAAAACCCUGGGCUUAACCUAGGAAUUGCAUUUGAUACUGGGAAACUAGAGUACAGAAGAGGGAAGUGGAAUUUCCGGUGUAGCGGUGAAAUGCGUAGAUAUCGGAAGGAACAUCAGUGGCGAAGGCGACUUCCUGGUCUGUUACUGACACUGAGGCACGAAAGCGUGGGGAGCGAACAGG